rnacentral:rRNA from 1 species
UAGUCCACGCCGUAAACGAUGAUAACUCGUUGCUGGCGAUACAUUGUCAGUGACCAAGCGAAAGUGUUAAGUUAUCCGCCUGGGAACUACGAUUGCAAAAUUAAAACUCAAAGGAAUUGACGGGGACUUACACAAGCGGUGGAGCAUGUGGUUUAAUUCGAUGAUACGCGAGGAACCUUACCAGGGCUUAAAUGUAAGUUGCAUUAGCUAGAGACAGCUAUUUCUUCGGACUACUUACAAGGUGCUGCAUGGUUGUCGUCAGCUCGUGCCGUGAGGUGUCAGGUUAAGUCCUAUAACGAGCGCAACCCCUGUUGUUAGUUGCCAGCGAGUCAAGUCGGGAACUCUAACAAGACUGCCAGUGCAAACUGUGAGGAAGGUGGGGAUGACGUCAAAUCAUCACGGCCCUUACGUCCUGGGCUACACACGUGCUACAAUGGUAGGUACAGAGAGCAGCCACAACGCGAGUUGGAGCGAAUCUAUAAAACCUAUCACAGUUCGGAUCGG